AAGGUUUCCGUAGGUGAACCUGCGGAAGGAUCAUUAACGAAUUAACGAGAGAUUGAUGCUGGUGUUCAUUCAUAUGUGCUCGCUCUCUUAAUCCAAUCACACUUGUGCACCUUAUUUUGAAGAAGGCGAGGCUUCCUUAUGGAUGGCUUUCCCUCCUUUGAAACUUAAACAAACUCUAUUAUCAUCAAGAAUGUUUAUAUGCUGCAAGGCAAAAUAAAAUACAACUUUUAACAACGGAUCUCUUGGCUCUCGCAUCGAUGAAGAACGCAGCGAAAUGCGAUAAGUAAUGUGAAUUGCAGAAUUCAGUGAAUCAUCGAAUCUUUGAACGCACCUUGCGCUCCCUGGUAUUCCGGGGAGCACGCCUGUUCGAGUGUCAUGAAUCUCUCAAAUCAGAUGCUUUAUUGUUGUCUUGAUUUGGAUUUGGACUCUGCUGCGUCAAAUGCAGCUGGUCUUAAAAGCAUUAGCUGGUCCUCAUGUAGGUUUGGUUCUACUCAGCGUGAUAAUUAUCUACCGCUGAGGACAUUCUUCGGAGUGGCCAGGCUCACUUAGGACUGCUUCUAAUAGUCCUUUGGACAAUUUAUCUUAAUCUGACCUCGAAUCAGGUGGGACUACCCG
rnacentral:rRNA from 1 species